UACGUAGGGUGCAAGCGUUGUCCGGAAUUAUUGGGCGUAAAGAGCUCGUAGGCGGUCUGUCGCGUCGGCUGUGAAAUCCCGAGGCUCAACCUCGGGUCUGCAGUCGAUACGGGCGAACUGGAGUGUUGCAGGGGAGACUGGAAUUCCUGGUGUAGCGGUGAAAUGCGCAGAUAUCAGGAGGAACACCGGUGGCGAAGGCGGGUCUCUGGGCAACAACUGACGCUGAGGAGCGAAAGCGUGGGGAGCGAACAGG
rnacentral:rRNA from 1 species